rnacentral:rRNA from 1 species
GACGAACGCUGGCGGCGUGCUUAACACAUGCAAGUCGAGCGGUAAGGCCCUUCGGGGUACGACGAGCGGCGAACGGGUGAGUAACACGUGGGUGACCUGCCUUUAGCUCUGGGAUAAGCCUGGGAAACCGGGUCUAAUACCGGAUAUGACUCCGCGGCGCAUGUUGUGGGGUGGAAAGCCUUGUGCGGCUGGAGAUGGGCCCGCGGCCUAUCAGCUUGUUGGUGGGGUGAUGGCCUACCAAGGCGACGACGGGUAGCCGGCCUGAGAGGGCGACCGGCCACACUGGGACUGAGACACGGCCCAGACUCCUACGGGAGGCAGCAGUGGGGAAUAUUGCGCAAUGGGCGGAAGCCUGACGCAGCGACGCCGCGUGGGGGAUGACGGCC